CGGGGGGAGCAAGCGUUGUUCGGAUUUACUGGGCGUAAAGGGCGCGUAGGCGGCCAGCGCAAGUCAGUUGUGAAAUCUCCGGGCUUAACUCGGAAAGGUCAACUGAUACUGCGCGGCUAGAGUGCAGAAGGGGCAACUGGAAUUCUCGGUGUAGCGGUGAAAUGCGUAGAUAUCGAGAGGAACACCUGCGGCGAAGGCGGGUUGCUGGGCUGACACUGACGCUGAUGCGCGAAAGCCAGGAGAGCGAACGGGAUUAGAUACCCCGGUAGUCCUGGCCUUAAACGAUGGAUGCUUGGUGUCUGGAGUUUUAUAGUCUCCGGGUGCCGUAGCUAACGCGUUAAGCAUCCCGCCUGGGGAGUACGGUCGCAAGACUG
rnacentral:rRNA from 1 species